UACAGAGGUCUCAAGCGUUGUUCGGAUUCAUUGGGCGUAAGGGGUGCGUAGGUGGCGCCGUAAGUCGGGUGUGAAAUUUCGGAGCUUAACUCCGAAACUGCAUUCGAUACUGCGGUGCUUGAGGACUGGAGAGGAGACUGGAAUUCAUGGUGUAGCAGUGAAAUGCGUAGAGAUCAUGAGGAAGACCAGUGGCGAAGGCGGGUCUCUGGACAGUUCCUGACAUUGAGGCACGAAGGCCCAGGGGGAGCAAACGGG
rnacentral:rRNA from 1 species